GUUCAAUUGGAAAUGAGAAUAUUUUAGGUUAGUGAUUGAAUCUUAUGGUCAGUGGGGGUGCCCCGAGAGUGCUCGGGAUUGAUUUUGUGUGAUGCUUCCUGACUAACAAGACUUGUGCUGCUGUCGAGAUCUUCAGCAAUCAGAAGUGGAAGAGGUUCCAUGGCUAAGUUAUGCCCGGUCAGGUUAUUUAGUCCUGUUUUGAUCCGAACCCGACUCUGCUUUUCCCAUUUCUAACCAUAUAAAACUCCACUUUGUUGGUACACAGUGGGAAUUUCAAGUUGGGCCCUGUUAUAGCCUGUAGGCAUCUUCGUAUGUGAUGAACUAUGUGGCUUGUUACAUUCUUGUGGUUGCUGGAGUGGUAGUUUCAUGUGACCUUAAGCUGAUCCCGGGCGACUCGAACGGGGCUGGUGCUCAAUGUUACUGGGGCUGGUGCUCAUUGUAACUACAGGUAAAUGCUCACAAAAUCGUCAUCUUUCUACACAAUUAUAUUGACAAUUUUGUUACUUCUUUUUUCUUUAAAUAAACAAAAGGACUAUUUGUCAAAUCU